rnacentral:rRNA from 1 species
ACAGCUAACCAUGGCAAGGUCGGAGCGGUAAGCACAGGGGAGCUUGCUCCUGGGUGACGAGCGGCGGACGGGUGAGUAAUGUCUGGGAAACUGCCUGAUGGAGGGGGAUAACUGCUGGAAACGGUAGCUAAUACCGCAUAACGUCGCAAGACCAAAGAGGGGGACCUUCGGGCCUCUU